UGGGGAAUAUUGGACAAUGGGCGAAAGCCUGAUCCAGCCAUGCCGCGUGUGUGAAGAAGGCUUUCGGGUUGUAAAGCACUUUCAGUGGGGAAGAAGGCUUGCCGGCCAAUACCCGGCAAGAGCGACAUCACCCACAGAAGAAGCACCGGCUAACUCCGUGCCAGCAGCCGCGGUAAUACGGAGGGUGCAAGCGUUAAUCGGAAUUACUGGGCGUAAAGCGCGCGUAGGCGGCUUGUCACGCCGGGUGUGAAAGCCCCGGGCUCAACCUGGGAACGGCAUCCGGAACGGGCAGGCUAGAGUGCAGGAGAGGAAGGUAGAAUUCCCGGUGUAGCGGUGAAAUGCGUAGAGAU
rnacentral:rRNA from 1 species